GAUGAACGCUGGCGGCGUGCCUAAUACAUGCAAGUCGAGCGAACAGACGAGGAGCUUGCUCCUCUGACGUUAGCGGCGGACGGGUGAGUAACACGUGGAUAACCUACCUAUAAGACUGGGAUAACUUCGGGAAACCGGAGCUAAUACCGGAUAAUAUAUUGAACCGCAUGGUUCAAUAGUGAAAGACGGUUUUGCUGUCACUUAUAGAUGGAUCCGCGCCGCAUUAGCUAGUUGGUAAGGUAACGGCUUACCAAGGCAACGAUGCGUAGCCGACCUGAGAGGGGGAUCGGCCACACUGGAAAUGAGACAAGGUCCAGACUCCUACGGGAGGCAGCAGUAGGGAAUCUUCCGCAAUGGGCGAAAGCCUGACGGAGCAACGCCGCGUGAGUGAUGAAGGUCUUCGGAUCGUAAAACUCUGUUAUUAGGGAAGAACAAAUGUGUAAGUAACUAUGCACGUCUUGACGGUACCUAAUCAGAAAGCCACGGCUAACUACGUG
rnacentral:rRNA from 1 species